rnacentral:tRNA from 1 species
AAGACUCUAGUAAAUACAUAACAUGGCUUUGUCGAAGCCAAGUAACAGGCAUCCCCCCCUGUGAGACUUA